UACGUAGGGUGCAAGCGUUGUCCGGAAUUAUUGGGCGUAAAGAGCUCGUAGGCGGUUCGACAAGUCGGGUGUGAAAACUCCGGGCUCAACCCGGAGACGCCACCCGAUACUGUCGUGACUGGAGUCCGGUAGGGGAGUGGGGAAUUCCUGGUGUAGCGGUGAAAUGCGCAGAUAUCAGGAGGAACACCGGUGGCGAAGGCGCCACUCUGGGCCGGUACUGACGCUGAGGAGCGAAAGCGUGGGUAGCAAACAGG
rnacentral:rRNA from 1 species